GAAACUGAAGAUCAUAAAUAGGUACAAAACUAUAAUUGUCAACUAAACAACUAUAAAUUGUAUGUCACCUUGAUCAAAUCAUAUAUGGCUUCAAAUGAGUAACUAACCAUAUAAUAGUUCAUAUGCAUAUACAACAAAAUCAAAAUCAGCAAACAGAAAAAAAAUAUAUACAUAAACUUAACAUUCAGAAGAAUAUACUAAAUGAUCUAGCUUUCACAACAAGCUUAACAGAAUAUUCUCUAAUUAAUUAUAAGACAUAUUAUACCUAUAAGUUAAGAUUAUAAAUGGAAUGUCUUGUUAUUAAAUGUAUAUUUGAAUAAUAAAGAGAAAAAUAUCCAGAAAGUAGUUUACACCAAAAAUUUAAUUGACUAAUCUUAUUAAUAAUAUUUAAAUAUUAAAUAUAUGAUAUUAUGAAAUAAGAAAUCUCGUCAACUAAUUGCAACUGGUUUUUUUACUGCAACCGUUUUUUUUUAUAACGCUGAUUUAUUAUGACAUUACAUUUAUAAGAAAGAUUACAUAGACGAUUCGACAACUGAUAAUACUACCUGCCUUAUGAAGAUCUACGCCUAACUGCAUCAUCUGAGUCGUCCUAUGAAGAUCCAUUCCUGACCAGAUUUACUUGCACCAUGUUGAAGAUUUAUUGUAAAUAUUUCUUCUAUAGUCUGCAUUAAUAAAUCACUCUCUCCGAAACUUGAAACCUGGAUUUCCUGUAAUAUGCAAGAAAUUGCAUAGUCUGGGGUUCGAACCCCAUACCUGGGUGUAGAAGCCUUUAAACCUUAACCACUAGGCUACGCUGCUUCCACCCGUUUUUUUAUCGUGUACACAAAUAUUGAUAAAAUGAUACAAAAGCUAAUAUGACUAUAAUCCAAUACAUUUACAAAUAUAAAAAAUACUCGUCUAACCAUGAGUCAAUCUUAGUAGCUAAUAUGUAUAUAUCCAAUACAUAUUUUAUUAUAUAAAAAAGAGUUUGCUCUCUCCUUAGAGAGACACAUCAACGUCCAUGUCACAAAUUUAGUUCACCACGUCGUGACACGUCUCCCCAUAUACUAAACACACCGUUUUAUUAAGUCUGAUGGCAUAAUGGGUUUUGUUCGAUUGGCGUUGUAUAUUAAGUAGAAGAAGUUGAAAUCUUUGAAACAAAAUUGAAAACGUAAUAUUGCUAUUAUAGACUUCUUCUCUACUUCCUCAAAUUUGAUAAAUCGAUACAAAGAACCACAGAAUAUGAACAACUCUUCUUAUGCGUUUUUUUUUCAUUAUCCUGAAACAAUCUUCGAUCUACACGAACCUAAAAGUCUCUUUCUUUUUUCCCAGGGGCAUCCAUGAUGAAGCUACAGGCGGUCCUCAGCGGUUUCAUCCUUACCUUUUGCCUCCGUUACUCCGUCUACGUCUCCUUCAUCAUCACUGGAGAUUUCUUCGGCGAACUGGCAGUCGCAACGCAUAGUCAAUAACAGAGAGACGAAAAAAAGUGUACUUGCAAAUGCAAUAUAGGAAGCCGGGCAUAGGAAGUUGUUGAGCCUGGACAUGAGGCAAAAUGACCAAGAGAGAGGUGCAGCGGUGGGUCACACAUAAGUAGAAGCAGAAGGAUGAGAAAAUAAAGGCAGUAAGGAUGGGAGGGAUCACAAUCCAAGAACAACGAAGCGAUAGUUUACUGCAAUCUACAAGAAAAUAAAGGCAGUAAGUAUGUGAGCAAGUUUAGGAAGUCAACGAAGCAGCACAAUUUUUGUGAGAAGGAUGAGAUGAAGCGGAAAUUUUUUCAGAGGAUCAACGUAAACAACAUCGUGUAGUUUAUCCUAAAAAAAAUCACGAAAAGGUACUGACCUAUGCCAUGGACUUUAUAAUUCAGACAUACAUUUACAUUUUUCUCUUUUCAUUCUAAGUAGAAGACCAAGAGCAAAACAAAACAUAGCUUUGUGCUCAGUUAGCUGACACUAUAUGAAUGUUAAACAUCUGAAAGUUAUUGCAUUGUUUUUACUGGUUC